AAGGAACUUGCCUCUUGGACUGGGACAACUGUUGGAAACGACAGCUAAUACCGGAUAUUAUGAGAUUCUCGCAUGAGAAACUUAUGAAAGCUAUAUGCGCCAAGAGAGAGCCUUGCGUUCCAUUAGCUAGUUGGUGGGGUAACGGCCCACCAAGGCGACGAUGGAUAGCCGGCCUGAGAGGGUGAACGGCCACAAGGGGACUGAGACACGGCCCUUACUCCUACGGGAGGCAGCAGUGGGGAAUAUUGGACAAUGGGCCACAAGCCUGAUCCAGCAAUUCUGUGUGCACGAUGAAGGUCUUCGGAUUGUAAAGUGCUUUCAGUUGGGAAGAAGAAAGUGACGGUACCAACAGAAGAAGCGACGGCUAAAUACGUGCCAGCAGCCGCGGUAAUACGUAUGUCGCAAGCGUUAUCCGGAUUUAUUGGGCGUAAAGCGCGUCUAGGCGGAAAAAUAAGUCUGAUGUUAAAAUGCGGGGCUCAACUCCGUAUUGCGUUGGAAACUGUUUUUCUAGAGUACUGGAGAGGUGGGCGGAACUACAAGUGUAGAGGUGAAAUUCGUAGAUAUUUGUAGGAAUGCCGAUGGAGAAGUCAGCUC
rnacentral:rRNA from 1 species